rnacentral:rRNA from 1 species
AACGAACGCUGGCGGCAUGCCUAACACAUGCAAGUCGAACGAGACCUUCGGGUCUAGUGGCGCACGGGUGCGUAACGCGUGGGAAUCUGCCCUUGGGUUCGGAAUAACAGCGAGAAAUUGCUGCUAAUACCGGAUGAUGACGUAAGUCCAAAGAUUUAUCGCCCAAGGAUGAGCCCGCGUAGGAUUAGCUAGUUGGUGAGGUAAAGGCUCACCAAGGCGACGAUCCUUAGCUGGUCUGAGAGGAUGAUCAGCCACACUGGGACUGAGACACGGCCCAGACUCCUACGGGAGGCAGCAGUGGGGAAUAUUGGACAAUGGGCGAAAGCCUGAUCCAGCAAUGCCGCGUGAGUGAUGAAGGCCUUAGGGUGUAAAGCUCUUUUACCCGGGAUGAUAAUGACAGUACCGGGAGAAUAAGCUCCGGCUAACUCCGUGCCAGCAGCCGCGGUAAU